UGAGUAUUACAUCAGGUACUGAUGGUGGUUCUCAACUCAGUGCCUUGUGUGAUAUUCUUG
rnacentral:pre_miRNA from 1 species